AGCGGCAUCGUCUAGAGGUUAGGAUAGCAGAUUCUCAUUCUGUUGACACGGGUUCAAUUCCCGUUGCCGCCG
rfam:Clostridium sp. CAG:768 genomic scaffold, scf24